UGGGGAAUAUUGGACAAUGGGCGCAAGCCUGAUCCAGCCAUGCCGCGUGAGUGAUGAAGGCCCUAGGGUUGUAAAGCUCUUUCACCGGUGAAGAUAAUGACGGUAACCGGAGAAGAAGCCCCGGCUAACUUCGUGCCAGCAGCCGCGGUAAUACGAAGGGGGCUAGCGUUGUUCGGAUUUACUGGGCGUAAAGCGCACGUAGGCGGACUUUUAAGUCAGGGGUGAAAUCCCGGGGCUCAACCCCGGAACUGCCUUUGAUACUGGAAGUCUUGAGUAUGGUAGAGGUGAGUGGAAUACCGAGUGUAGAGGUGAAAUUCGUAGAUAUUCGGAGGAACACCAGUGGCGAAGGCGGCUCACUGGACCAUUACUGACGAUGAGGUGCGAAAGCGUGGGGAGCAAACAGG
rnacentral:rRNA from 1 species